rnacentral:rRNA from 1 species
CCUACGGGAGGCAGCAGUGAGGAAUAUUGGUCAAUGGGCGGAAGCCUGAACCAGCCAAGUAGCGUGCAGGACGACGGCUCUAUGAGUUGUAAACUGCUUUUGUACGAGGGUAAACUCAGAUACGCGUCUCUGUCUGAAAGUAUCGUACGAAUAAGGAUCGGCUCACUCCGUGCCAGCAGCCGCGGUAAUACGGAGGAUUCAAGCGUUAUCCGGAUUUAUUGGGUUUAAAGGGUGCGUAGGCGGUCGGAUAAGUUAGAGGUGAAAUCCCGAGGCUCAACUUCGGAAUUGCCUCUGAUACUGUUCGGCUAGAGAGUAGGUGCGGUAGGCGGAAUGUAUGGUGUAGCGGGGAAAUGCUUAGAGAUCAUACAGAACACCGAGUGCGAAGGCAGCUUACUAAGCUACUUCUGACGUUGAGGCACGAAAGCGUGGGGAGCAAACAGGAUUAGAUACCCUGGUAGUC